rnacentral:rRNA from 1 species
GACGAACGCUGGCGGCGUGCUUAACACAUGCAAGUCGAACGGAAAGGCCCUGCUUUUGUGGGGUGCUCGAGUGGCGAACGGGUGAGUAACACGUGAGUAACCUGCCCUUGACUUUGGGAUAACUUCAGGAAACUGGGGCUAAUACCGGAUAGGAGCUCCUGCUGCAUGGUGGGGGUUGGAAAGUUUCGGCGGUUGGGGAUGGACUCGCGGCUUAUCAGCUUGUUGGUGGGGUAGUGGCUUACCAAGGCUUUGACGGGUAGCCGGCCUGAGAGGGUGACCGGCCACAUUGGGACUGCGAUACGGCCCAGUCUCCUACGGGAGGCAGCAGUGGGGAAUAUGGCACAAUGGGCGGAAGCCUGAUGCAGCAACGCCGCGUGCGGGAUGACGGCCUUCGGGUUGUAAACCGCUUUCGCCUGUGACGAAGCGUGAGUGACGGUAAUGGGUAAAGAAGCACCGGCUAACUACGUG